GGGCCUGUAGCUCAGCAGGUUAGAGCACCGUGCUGAUAACGCGGGGGUCCGUGGUUCGAGUCCACGCAGGCCCA
rnacentral:tRNA from 1 species